rnacentral:sRNA from 1 species
UUUUUUGUUUGUUUUUCUUUUAUUUUU